CACAGUACUGCAUGGUACAGUGGUAAAAACUCCGGUGGUAUGAGAUGGACCCGCGUCCAAUUAGCUAGUUGGUGAGGUAACGGCCCACCAAGGCGACGAUUGGUAGCCGGACUGAGAGGUUGAACGGCCACAUUGGGACUGAGACACGGCCCAGACUCCUACGGGAGGCAGCAGUGGGGGAUAUUGCACAAUGGGGGAAACCCUGAUGCAGCGACGCCGCGUGGAGGAAGAAGGUUUUCGGAUUGUAAACUCCUGUCGUUAGGGACGAUAAUGACGGUACCUAACAAGAAAGCACCGGCUAACUACGUGCCAGCAGCCGCGGUAAAACGUAGGGUGCAAGCGUUGUCCGGAAUUACUGGGUGUAAAGGGAGCGCAGGCGGACCGGCAAGUUGGAAGUGAAAUCCAUGGGCUCAACCCGUGAAUUGCUUUCAAAACUGCUGGCCUUGAGUAGUGCAGAGGUAGGUGGAAUUCCCGGUGUAGCGGUGGAAUGCGUAGAUAUCGGGAGGAACACCAGUGGCGAAGGCGACCUACUGGGCACCAACUGACGCUGAGGCUCGAAAGCAUGGGUAGCAAACAGGAUUAGAUACCCUGGUAGUCCAUGCCGUAAACGAUGAUUACUAGGUGUUGGAGGAUUGACC
rnacentral:rRNA from 1 species